AUUGAACGCUGGCGGAAUGCUUUACACAUGCAAGUCGAACGGCAGCACGGGGCAACCUGGUGGCGAGUGGCGAACGGGUGAGUAAUACAUCGGAACGUGCCCAGUCGUGGGGGAUAACGUAGCGAAAGCUACGCUAAUACCGCAUACGAUCUAUGGAUGAAAGCGGGGGACCGUAAGGCCUCGCGCGAUUGGAGCGGCCGAUGGCAGAUUAGGUAGUUGGUGGGGUAAAGGCUCACCAAGCCUGCGAUCUGUAGCCGGUCUGAGAGGACGACCAGCCACACUGGGACUGAGACACGGCCCAGACUCCUACGGGAGGCAGCAGUGGGGAAUUUUGGACAAUGGGCGCAAGCCUGAUCCAGCCAUUCCGCGUGCAGGAUGAAGGCCUUCGGGUUGUAAACUGCUUUUGUACGGAACGAAAGGCCUUUUUCUAAUACAAGAAGGUCAUGACGGUACCGUAAGAAUAAGCACCGGCUAACUACGUGCCAGCCGCCGCGGUAA
rnacentral:rRNA from 1 species